rnacentral:rRNA from 1 species
AAGUGUUGGAGAAAUUCAGUGCUGUAGUUAACGCAAUAAGUACUCCGCCUGAGUAGUACGUACGCAAGUAUGAAACUCAAGGGAAUUGACGGGACCCCGCACAAGCGGUGGAUCAUGUUGUUUAAUUCGAAGAUACGCGAAAAACCUUACCAGGCCUUGACAUCCCAUGCAAUGCUAUAGAGAUAUAGUGGAGGUUACCAUGGAGACAGGUGGUGCAUGGUUGUCGUCAGCUCGUGUCGUGAGAUGUUGGGUUAAGUCCCGCAACGAGCGCAACCCUUAUUGCUAGUUGCCAUCAUUUAGUUGGGGACUCUAGCGAGACUGCCAGUGACAAACUGGAGGAAGGUGGGGAUGACGUCAAAUCAUCAUGCCCCUUAUGGCCUGGGCUACAAACGUGAUAUAAUGGGUGCUACAAAGGGCAGCGAAGCCGUGAGGUGGAGCGAAACCCAUAAAAGCACUCUCAGUUCGGAUUGAAGUCUGCAACUCGACUUCAUGAAGUUGGAAUCGCUAGUAAUCGCAAAUCAGAAUGUUGCGGUGAAUACGUUCUCGGGGUUUGUACACACCGCCCGUCAAACCACGAAAGUCAGCAAUACCCAAAGCCGGUGGCCUAACCGUAAGGAGGGAGCCGUUUAAGGUAGGGUUGAUGAUUGGGGUUAAGUCGUAACAAGGUAGCCAAGGGCGAAUUCCAG